GAUCCCAUAGUGUAGUGGUUAUCACUCCGGUUUCUGAAGAACGUAAUGUGCGUUGUACAUUAAAUUUGGAACAUGCUGGCAACUCGGGUUCGAAUCCCGAUGGGGUCU